rnacentral:rRNA from 1 species
AUGGACGCCCCGUCGGUGGCGCUCUACAACCAGCUCAAGGCUGCCCAACCAUUCUUCUUGUUAGCUGGGCCCAAUGUGAUCGAAUCAGAGGAACAUGUCAUGAAGAUGGCCAAACACAUCAAAGCCAUCACAACCAAGCUUGGGGUGCCUCUUGUGUUCAAAUCAAGCUUUGAUAAAGCAAACCGUACAUCGUCGAAAUCCUUCCGCGGUCCUGGUCUGGAACAAGGCCUAAAGAUCCUUGAAAAGGUGAAGGCUGCAUAUGACCUUCCAGUGGUCACCGACGUGCAUGAAAGCUGCCAGUGCGAAGCUGUUGGAAGAGUUGCUGAUAUUAUACAGAUUCCAGCUUUCCUCUGUCGCCAGACUGACCUUCUAGUGGCUGCGGCUAAGACUGGGAAAAUUAUCAAUAUCAAGAAAGGACAAUUCUGUGCCCCGUCUGUUAUGGCCAACUCUGCGGAGAAAAUUAGACUUGCUGGAAAUCAUAAUGUGAUGGUCUGUGAGCGAGGCACCAUGUUUGGCUACAAUGAUCUAAUUGUUGAUCCAAGGAACUUUGAGUGGCUGAGGGAAACAAAUUGCCCAGUUGUAGCUGACGUAACACAUGCUCUACAACAACCAGCUGGGAAAAAGCUUGAUGGUGGUGGGGUCGCAAGUGGGGGCUUACGAGAACUCAUACCAUGCAUCGCAAGGACUGCUGUUGCAGUUGGUGUUGAUGGUAUUUUCAUGGAGGUACAUGAUGAUCCCCUGAAUUCACCAUGUGACGGGCCAACUCAAUGGCCAUUGCGCAAUUUGGAGGAGCUGUUAGAAGAAUUGAUUGCGAUCGCUCGAGUCACCAAAGGAAAGAAGCCACUCAAGAUCGACCUAACUCCAUUCAAGGAAUGA